UACGUAGGGGGCAAGCGUUGUCCGGAAUCAUUGGGCGUAAAGAGCGUGUAGGCGGCCCGGUAAGUCCGCUGUGAAAGUCAAGGGCUCAACCCUUGAAUGCCGGCGGAUACUGUCGGGCUAGAGUCCGGAAGAGGCGAGUGGAAUUCCCGGUGUAGCGGUGAAAUGCGCAGAUAUCGGGAGGAACACCAGUAGCGAAGGCGGCUCGCUGGGCCGUUCCUGACGCUGAGACGCGAAAGCUAGGGGAGCGAACAGG
rnacentral:rRNA from 1 species